rnacentral:rRNA from 1 species
CCUACGGGUGGCAGCAGUGAGGAAUAUUGGUCAAUGGACGAGAGUCUGAACCAGCCAAGUAGCGUGAAGGAUGACGGCCCUAUGGGUUGUAAACUUCUUUUAUAUGGGAAUAAAAUGUUCCACGUGUGGGAUUUUGUAUGUACCAUAUGAAUAAGGAUCGGCUAACUCCGUGCCAGCAGCCGCGGUAAUACGGAGGAUCCGAGCGUUAUCCGGAUUUAUUGGGUUUAAAGGGAGCGUAGGUGGAUUGUUAAGUCAGUUGUGAAAGUUUGGGGCUCAACCGUAAAAUUGCAGUUGAAACUGGCAGUCUUGAGUACAGUAGAGGUGGGCGGAAUUCGUGGUGUAGCGGUGAAAUGCUUAGAUAUAACGAAGAACUCCGAUUGCGAAGGCAGUUCACUGGACUGCAACUGACACUGAGGCUCGAAAGUGUGGGUAUCAAACAGGAUUAGAUACCCCUGUAGUC